rnacentral:rRNA from 1 species
UGGGGAAUAUUGGGCAAUGGGCGAAAGCCUGACCCAGCGACGCCGCGUGGGUGAUGAAGGCCUUCGGGUUGUAAAACCCUUUCGUGCGGAAAGAAUAGUCUCGUAGCGAAUAACUACGGGAUUUGACGGUACCGCAGGAAGAAGCACCGGCUAACUCCGUGCCAGCAGCCGCGGUAAUACGGAGGGUGCAAGCGUUGUUCGGAAUUAUUGGGCGUAAAGGGCGCGUAGGUGGUUGUGAUAGUCAGAUGUGAAAUCCUUCGGCUCAACCGAAGAACUGCAUCUGAAACUUCAUAGCUCGAGUACAGGAGAGGGAAACGGAAUUCCCGGUGUAGAGGUGAAAUUCGUAGAUAUCGGGAGGAACACCAGUGGCGAAAGCGGCCUCCUGGUCCGCAACUGACGCGCAGACGCGAAAGCUAGGGUAGCAAACGG